CUUUAAUGAGCCAUUCGCAGUUUCACUGUACCGGCCGUGCGUACUUACAGGUGCAUGGCUUAAUCUUUGAGACAAGCAUAUGCUACUGGCAGGCUCAACCAGGUCCAGUGAAACUGCUAA